AAUAAAUUAGAAACUCAGGAGUAUACUGCAUAUAUUUAAGUGCUGGUUCGUGACACUCUUGUUUCAGCACUUAUCAGUACAGACACGUGCAGCAGACUGAAAUGACAAACGCAUUUCCUACUGUGGGUUGCAGUUUAAGUUUGGAAGAUGCUGCAUUUUCAAGAGACUGAUCCUUCUUCAUACUCUACAGACGCCAGACUUGUCACCAGCGUGUACCUGGGCUUGAGUUCCAAAAGAAAUAUUCAAAGAAGAUGCAUGGCAGCUGCCUGAGAAACACAAAUCGUGUGUUUUAAGGCUGCAUUACAGUUAGGACGUCAUCCAUCACUCCGUGGAACUCACCUGAACUCUGGUGGAUACUGUUUUACGAGCCAGUCCACAUCAAAGCAGUAGUUAAACU